GGGAUUGUGGCUCAGUGGUAGUGUGCUUGCCUAGUAUGCAUGAGACACUGAGUUCGAUUUUCAGCAACACA
rnacentral:tRNA from 1 species